rnacentral:rRNA from 1 species
UGGUGGGUUGCCUUGUCAGGUUGAUUCCGGUAACGAGCGAGACCUCAGCCUGCUAACUAGUCACGCGUGCUCCGGCACGCGGCGGACUUCUUAGAGGGACUAUUGGCGACUAGCCAAUGGAAGCAUGAGGCAAUAACA